AGGACGAAACAGGGGUGUCCCGCCAGCAUGGCGCGGACUGAGAAACACCCUGGGGCACCACGCCCCGUUACCCGAUCCAGGUCAUGCUGGCGUGGGGAGUUUCCCAGUGCAGGCA
rnacentral:ncRNA from 1 species